AUUGAACGCUGGCGGCAUGCCUUACACAUGCAAGUCGAACGGUAACGGGCCUUCGGGUGCCGACGAGUGGCGAACGGGUGAGUAAUACAUCGGAACGUGCCCGAUCGUGGGGGAUAACGAGGCGAAAGCUUUGCUAAUACCGCAUACGAUCUACGGAUGAAAGCAGGGGACCGCAAGGCCUUGCGCGGACGGAGCGGCCGAUGGCAGAUUAGGUAGUUGGUGGGAUAAAAGCUUACCAAGCCGACGAUCUGUAGCUGGUCUGAGAGGAUGAUCAGCCACACUGGGACUGAGACACGGCCCAGACUCCUACGGGAGGCAGCAGUGGGGAAUUUUGGACAAUGGGCGCAAGCCUGAUCCAGCCAUGCCGCGUGCAGGAUGUAGGCCUUCGGGUUGUAAACUGCUUUUGUACGGAACGAAAAGCCUUCUUUUAAUACAGGAGGGUCAUGACGGUACCGUAAGAAUAAGCACCGGCUAACUACGUG
rnacentral:rRNA from 1 species